rnacentral:lncRNA from 1 species
AUGGAUGAUGUUGAAAAAGGCAAGAAGAUUUUUGUUCAGAAGUAUGCCCAGUGCUACACUGUGGAAAAUGGAGGCAAGCAUAAGACUGGACUAAAUCUCCAGGGUCUGUUUGUAUAGAAGACAGGUUAGGCUGCUAGAUUCUCUUACACAGAUGCCAACAAGAAAAAAGGCAUCACCUGGAGAGAGGAUACCCUGAUAGAGUAUUUGGAGAAUCCCAAAAAGUACACCCCUGGAACAAAAAUGAUCUUCUCUGGAAUCAAGAAGGGAGAAAAGGCAGGCCUUAUAGCUUAUCUUAAAAAGGCUACUAGUGUGUAA